rnacentral:rRNA from 1 species
AGUCGAGAAUCUUCGGCAAUGGGCGCAAGCCUGACCGAGCGACGCCGCGUGCGGGAUGAAGGCCCUUGGGUUGUAAACCGCUGUCAGGGGGGAGCAAGCCGCAAGGUUGAGCGAGCCCCAGAGGAAGCACGGGCUAAGUUCGUGCCAGCAGCCGCGGUAAUACGAACUGUGCGAACGUUAUUCGGAAUCACUGGGCUUACAGGGUGCGUAGGCGGCCUUUCAAGUCAGGUGUGAAAUCCCACAGCUCAACUGUGGAAUGGCGCUUGAAACUGGAGGGCUGGAGUCAGCUAGAGGUGCACGGAACUUCCGGUGGAGCGGUGAAAUGUGUUGAUAUCGGAAGGAACACCAGAGGCGAAAGCGGUGCACUGGGGCUGUUCUGACGCUGAGGCACGAAAGCCAGGGGAGCGAA